CAGCCGUAAACUAUGCGCGUUAGGUGUAUCGGUGACCACGAGUUACCGAGGUGCCGAAGGGAAACCGUGAAACGUGCCGCCUGGGAAGUACGGUCGCAAGGCUGAAACUUAAAGGAAUUGGCGGGGGAGGCACCACAACGGGUGGAGCCUGCGGUUUAAUUGGACUCAACGCCGGGAAGCUCACCGGAUAGGACAGCAGAAUGAUUGCCGGGCUGAAGACCCUGCAUGACUAGCUGAGAGGAGGUGCAUGGCGUAGACGUCU
rnacentral:rRNA from 1 species